UUGCUUACAUCUAGUAGAAGGAUUACACAUAUUUACUUCCUUUUUCGGUUUCAAAGGUUAUUUUAUAAAGGUUUAUUUUUUAUCCUCGCAACGAAGGUUUUGUUAGCAAUCCUAGCAAAUAAGGAUACAUUCAACAAGCACAAUCAUGAGUUUCGGUUCCAGCUCAGUUGUACCAAAAGCGAAACACGGUGACGAUUGGAAGUACAAGAUUUACUUUGACACUGAAGCGGACAAUGCAAACGGUAAAAUUUACGAUGGGACGAAAGGUGACUCGCUUCUGGAAAGCAUGCCUAGGAUAGUAGGCGCGAAUAAGGAUAUUGUCAACGUGUGGGCGUAUAAAGUGCCUCUGACUGACAUGCAACUUACGAAGUUCAUUUUAUACCAUAUGUUCAUUGUAUUUGAGACAAAAGAUCAUAUGUGGUGGUCCAUUGAGAAGCACACUGACGGCAUAAGUUUGCAGCGGAGCCGAGUGUGUUCGGCUGUACGAGACAGUUACAAGCAUAACCCACGCAAACCGCCCAUAGAAACGAUUGAUACAGACAAAGGCUCAAAAAGCAUUCACGACCUCUUUCAAUGGCUCAACGAGAAUGAGGAGUUGGAUAAAGUUUAUGAUUAUUUGAAUAGGAAUUGCCAACAUUUCGCAAAAGGUGUUUUUAACUACUUGUCUGUAGACAAGAAACUGUUUUGAUGUGCCUAUUGGAAGUGUUUCGAAAGCGAACCGGUUACCGGCAGACUUUUAACGUACAUAUUGACCUGGGGAAACUUUAAACCGCAAAAGAUUAUUAUAUAUUUUCUGCAUCUUUAGUGAGUUCCUUUUACGUAUAUACAUACGAACACUCUUUGUAUACUAUCUAAGAUGAACAUAUAUAAAUAAAUAAAGUUUUGCGUCUUUCUA